rnacentral:rRNA from 1 species
GAUGUCUUGCCGGUGGCGGUCCUCGCCUCUCGUCUCCGUGUAGGUCCGCCGAAGCGGGUCGAGAGGCAGGUCGCCGACUCAAUCCCGCCGCGGUGCUCUUGACUGAGUGUCGAGGUGGGCCGGCAAAAUUACUUUGAACAAAUUAGAGUGCUCAAAGCAGGCUUGAAAUUUACGCCUGAAUAUUGUGGUGCAUGGCAUAAUGGAAAAGGACUUCGGUUCUGGUUUUCUGUUUGGUUUUAAGAGACCGAAGUAAUGGUAAAUAGGGGCGGACGGGGGCAUCCGUACUGCAGCGCUAGAGGUGAAAUUCUUGGACCGCUGCAUGACGAACCUGAGCGAAAGCAUUUGCCAAGUACGCCCCUUUUAGUAAAGAACGAAAGUUAGAGGUUCGAAGGCGAUCAGAUACCGCCCUAGUUCUAACCAUAAACGAUACCAGCCAGCGAUCCGCCAAUGUUCCUCAGAUGACUUGGCGGGCAGCUUCCGGGAAACCAGAGCUUUUGGGUUCCGGGGGAAGUAUGGUUGCAAAGCUGAAACUUAAAGGAAUUGACGGAAGGGCACCACCAGGAGUGGAGCCUGCGGCUUAAUUUGACUCAACACGGGAAAACUCACCAGGCCAGGACACUGGGAGGAUUGACAGACUGAUGGCUCUUUCUUGAUUCA